rnacentral:rRNA from 1 species
CCCUUAGAUGUCCUGGGCCGCACGCGCGCUACACUGAACGGAUCAGCGCGUUUUCCCUUCCCGAGAGGGACGGGUAACCUGCUGAACCCCGUUCGUGGUAGGGAUCGGGGCUUGCAAUUACUCCCCGUGAACCAGGAAUGCCCAGUAAGUGCAAGUCAUAAGCUUGCGUUGAUUACGUCCCUGCCCUUUGUACACACCGCCCGUCGCUACUACCGAUUGAACGUUUUAGUGAGGUACUCGGACUGAGCCUCAGAAGAUUCACGUCUUUUGUGCUGCUCGGGAAGAUUCCCAAACUUGAGCGUUUAGAGGAAGUAAAAGUCGUAACA